rnacentral:rRNA from 1 species
UACGAAGGGGGCUAGCGUUGCUCGGAAUCACUGGGCGUAAAGGGUGCGUAGGCGGGUCUUUAAGGCAGGGGUGAAAUCCUGGAGCUCAACUCCAGAACUGCCUUUGAUACUGAGGAUCUUGAGUACGGGAGAGGUGAGUGGAACUGCGAGUGUAGAGGUGAAAUUCGUAGAUAUUCGCAAGAACACCAGUGGCGAAGGCGGCUCACUGGCCCGUAACUGACGCUGAGGCACGAAAGCGUGGGGAGCAAACAGG